rnacentral:rRNA from 1 species
GACACAGGGGGCAAGCGUUGCUCGGAAUUACUGGGCGUAAAGGGCGCGUAGGCGGAAUGGCAAGUCGGUCGUGAAAUCCUUCGGCUCAACCGAAGAACGUCGAUCGAAACUGCCGUUCUUGAGGAUUGCAGAGGAGACUGGAAUUCCCGGUGUAGCGGUGAAAUGUGUAGAGAUCGGGAGGAACACCGGUGGCGAAGGCGGGUCUCUGGGCAAUUCCUGACGCUGAGGCGCGAAAGCGUGGGGAGCAAACGGG